rnacentral:lncRNA from 1 species
GACUUAGGAAAAGUAUCCAAUAUUCUUGGACUAAAGGUCUAUAGAGAUAGAUCUAGAAGGAUGCUUGGCCUAUCAUAAAAAUUGUACAUAGAAAAAUGCUGAAGCGGUUCAACAUGAAAAACUCCAAAAGGAGUUUGCUACCCCUUAGGUAUGGUAUUCGACUCUUUCAGACGAUGUGUCCUAAUACUUCUAAGGAGAUUAAGUGCAUGAGUAGGA